rnacentral:tRNA from 2 species
GGCGUGGUAGCCAAGUGGUAAGGCAGUGGUCUGCAAAACCACUAUUCAGCGGUUCGAUUCCGCUCCACGCCUCCA